rnacentral:rRNA from 1 species
CCUACGGGAGGCAGCAGUGAGGAAUAUUGGUCAAUGGGCGCGAUCCUGAACCAGCCAAGUAGCGUGAAGGAUGACUGCCCUACGGGUUGUAAACUUCUUUUAUAAGGGAAUAAAGUGCGGCACGUGUGCCUUUUUGUAUGUACCUUAUGAAUAAGGAUCGGCUAACUCCGUGCCAGCAGCCGCGGUAAUACGGAGGAUCCGAGCGUUAUCCGGAUUUAUUGGGUUUAAAGGGAGCGUAGGUGGGUUGUUAAGUCAGUUGUGAAAGUUUGCGGCUCAACCGUAAAAUUGCAUUUGAUACUGGCAGCCUUGAGUUCACAACAGGCAGGCGGAAUUCGUGGUGUAGCGGUGAAAUGCAUAGAUAUCACGAAGAACCCCGAUUGCGAAGGCAGCCUGCUGGACUGUAACUGACGCUGAGGCUCGAAGGUGCGGGUAUCAAACAGGAUUAGAUACCCGUGUAGUC